AUAAAGAUAAAUCCUGAUUUCCGUGUCUAACGUUUGACCGUCCGUCUUAUUUAAAAAAAAUAUAAAAAUAAUUAAAAAGACAAGUCACACAUAAAAUAUUAAUCAUGUUUUAUCAUCUAACAACAAUGAAAAUACGAAUUAUAAAAAAAUUUCUUAUAAGACGGACAGUUAAAGUUGGACACGAAAACCUAGGGUUUGUCUUUUU
rnacentral:pre_miRNA from 1 species